CACUAUUUAGGCUUCAGGAGCCUGACUUCAAUCACUGACUACACCCAGAUGAGAUACCCUGAGCACGAACUGACUGCACUCAACAGCACAGAAAUGUAUGAAAUGCUCCAUGUCGUCACAGAGGCAUGUGCUUCCCAUCGAGAGACAAGGUUUGGCACUUUCUCUUCUUCCAGAAAUACAACUCAUAUUCAGCUUUGAAGUAUUGCUUGGGAGUUCUCAUCUUUGAUGUGACAAGUCACUUCUUGUCUCUCUGUUCUUAUAGUGUGUCCUUUCCAGUGCAUGACAACCAGAAGGGUUUCCAGACAAUGGGUUCAGGAACUCCCAUGUCAUCGGGUGAACUGUCAAUACACAGUACUGAGUCUUUGUCAACCCAGAAGAUCACUCCCGAUCAGCGAUGACAUGCAUGUGCUAUGGGAUCCAGAAUCGGGAGCCAUGAUUGCCUGUAAAACCUGAAAGUUCCCGUUCUUUAAAUAUCAGUCUCAAAAAAUAAAACAAAAUUCUGAG
ensembl:lncRNA